AGUGGCGGACGGGUGAGUAACGCGUGAGAAUCUGCCUUGGGGUCGGGGACAACCACUGGAAACGGUGGCUAAUACCGGAUACGCCUUCGGGUAAAAGAUUUAUUGCCCGAAGAGGAGCUCGCGUCUGAUUAGCUAGUUGGUGAGGUAAGAGCUCACCAAGGCAGCGAUCAGUAGCUGGUCUGAGAGGACGAUCAGCCACACUGGGACUGAGACACGGCCCAGACUCCUACGGGAGGCAGCAGUGGGGAAUUUUCCGCAAUGGGCGAAAGCCUGACGGAGCAAGACCGCGUGAGGGAGGAAGGCUCUUGGGUUGUAAACCUCUUUUCUCAGGGAAGAAGCUCUGACGGUACCUGAGGAAUCAGCCUCGGCUAACUCCGUGCCAGCAGCCGCGGUAAUACGGAGGAGGCAAGCGUUAUCCGGAAUUAUUGGGCGUAAAGCGUCCGCAGGUGGCGAUUCAAGUCUGCUGUCAAAGCACGGGGCUUAACUCCGUAAAGGCAGUGGAAACUGAAUAGCUAGAGUGCCGUAGGGGUAGAGGGAAUUCCCGGUGUAGCGGUGAAAUGCGUAGAGAUCGGGAAGAACAUCGGUGGCGAAAGCGCUCUACUGGACGGCAACUGACACUCAGGGACGAAAGCUAGGGGAGCGAAUGGGAUUAGAUACCCC
rnacentral:rRNA from 1 species